AUGGGGAAGGUGGCAGGCAGCAAGGCUUACUUCCAAAGGGGCAGUCUGUUCUGGUUCACAGUCAUCACCCUCUCCUUUGGCUAUUACACGUGGGUUGUCUUCUGGCCUCAUAGUAUUCCUUAUCAGAGCCUCGGGCCCCUGGGCCCCUUUACUCAGUACUUGGUGGACCAUCACCACUCCCUUCUGCACAAUGGGUACUGGCUUGCCUGGCUGAUUCACGUGGGCGGGUCCUUGUAUGCCAUGGUAUUGUGCAAGUCUAAAGGCAUCACGAAUAGUCGGGCUCAACUACUCUGGUUCCUGCAGACAUUCCUCUUUGGAAUAGCCUCCCUCUCCAUCUUGAUCGCUUACAGACCAAAACGCCAAAAGCAAACUUAAAGGAGAUCUCCAACCCUUUCCCUGCACUGACAUCCAGCCUCACUUUUGUCUGGGGAUGAUGUGUUUACUCCACCUUUCUGUUUUCUGGAAAGUUACAACCCUCUAGUUAGUCAUUAUCUCAUAUUCUCUGGUUGGGCUUGAGUAGAUAAUAGGAAAAGGUUUUGUCUUUCCAAUUCUCAAGACUAACCUAUUUGGCAGACUACUUCUAG